UACGUAGGUGGCGAACGUUUAUCCGGAAUUAUUGGGCGUAAAGGGUGCGUAGAUGGCCUGAUAAGUUAACAGUGGUAAAUCGAGGCUCAACCUCGUGGAAACUGAUAAUACUGUCUGGCUCGAGUACAGAAGAGGUUAACGGAAUUCCAUGUGGAGCGGUAAAAUGCAUAGAUAUAUGGAAGAACACCAAUAACGGCGAAGGCAGUUAACUAUUCUGUUACUGACAUUGAGGCACGAAAGCGUGGGGAGCAAAACGGA
rnacentral:rRNA from 1 species